UCUCCGUAGGUGAACCUGCGGAGGGAUCAUUACAGAGUUCAUGCCCUCACGGGUAGAUCUCCCACCCUAUGUUAUUACAACGAUGUUGCUUUGGCAGGCCGCCUCUCGAGGCUACCGGCUCCGGCUGGUGCGCGCCUGCCAGAGAACCCCAAACUCUGUGUUUAGUGUCGUCUGAGUAUUAUAUUAAUACGUUAAAACUUUCAACAACGGAUCUCUUGGUUCUGGCAUCGAUGAAGAACGCAGC
rnacentral:misc_RNA from 1 species